rnacentral:misc_RNA from 1 species
GAUGAAGAACGCAGCGAAAUGCGAUAAGUAAUGUGAAUUGCAGAAUUCAGUGAAUCAUCGAAUCUUUGAACGCACAUUGCGCCCGCCAGUAUUCUGGCGGGCAUGCCUGUUCGAGCGUCAUUUCAACCAUCAAGCCCCCGGCUUGUGUUGGGGACCUGCGGCUGCCGCAGGCCCUGAAAAGCAGUGGCGGGCUCGCUGUCACACCGAGCGUAGUAGCAUACAUCUCGCUCUGGGCGUGCUGCGGGUUCCGGCCGUAAAACCACCUUCAUAACCCAAGGUUGACCUCGGAUCAGGUAGGAAGACCCGCUGAACUUAAGCAUAUCAAUAAGCGGAGGAA